UCACCUAGGCGGGCGAGAGACGGUGAGGUGCAACUCACGCGCACUUCCGCUCAUCAGCGCAUCCGCUGCACUACUCCUCCCUUGCUGUGGCGACGGUACUGCGGCGCACAUGCACUGCGUCCUUUCCUCGAUGUCUGCGUCUGCCACAUCCACCUGCAGAGUAGAAGGACAAGAAGAAAGCACAGGAGCGCACGAGGCGAAGGCAGAGGCAGUGGAUUAAGGCAAUUGUCCUUGCCUGUGCAAUCCCCCGCUCUUUCCCUUCUAGAAGCCGUCAUUGCUGGCACACAUGCAUGCACGCGCAAGACUCCGUUGCUUUACGGUACUGUGCACUUGCUCUGUCAUAUAAGGCACGAAAAUGGGGGUGCCGCCGUCGCGACCAAGCUCCACGCAGACACACUCGCGACCGCCCUUAGUGCAACGCUGUAGUAGCACUCCCCCGACGAGCAAAACCGAAGGCACGGCGGCAGUGACGACCAGGAGCUGCAGUGCCAGCGCAUUGAAGAGUGCGCCAGAGGACUCAACGCUAAGCAUGCGCAUCUCGCGCUUGUUCAAGACUCUGCACAAGAUCGGAUGGACACUACAAGGUUGGACAGAAAAAGCCAUGGAAGCGAUGGCAGCGCCGAUCGGUUCUCACCGUGCGGGUCAGUGACAGCGCCCUCUGGCCGCUCAGGUCGCGCCGCAAAGGCACAGCCAAGGGGCUUCGCAUCUAGCACCGCUACAUAGCCCGGUACCGUCGAGCUUCGCGUCGGCGUCGAUCACUGCACUAUUGGACGCAUGCUGAGUGGUGCACAUGCGCAGUGAAUGAGCUGGCAUGACGCGGAGGGCCGGGUGCCUACUAGCGACAGGAGAACAAGGCGGCGGAGCGGGGGGAGGGGGGCAUUGCUGCGCGAAUCGAAGACAAAGGCGGCCGUGCAGCAGUAGCACCGCGCCCUCUCAUCGCCAGGCUUCCGCCUAGAUGGUCUGCUGGACUACCCAUACGUGCGGGAGACGCAGUAGUUGCUAGAGGACAACCCGUCGUCGAUGUUGCUUACGGCAUCCAUCUUCACGGAGUCUCGCAGCGAGCGGCGCUGGCGCGCCAUCGGGUGCGGUGAGGCCUGGCGGAGAUUGCAAGGGUGCAGAUGAUGACGGGAGUAGUGGUACCGGCGUGCGCAGCGCCAAUGACAUGGCAACCUUGCAUGGUUACCUCCAGCACCCAAGCACGGCGGACGACCCGCCGCUGAGGUUGCUUCUCUCGAUGACAGCAUUGGCCCAUGCAGGCGGUGGAGAGACGACGCAGUGAGGAAAAGGCAAAAAAAAUAAUCAACUGCGGGCGUGCGCUCGACUGAGACGUACCGCUCCCCUGUGGGCCUCUCUCAUCGCUCGUCACUUUGCCUGCCUGCGUAUGCAGCUGUUGUAGUGGCCGUUGUGCUGCAGAGAAUCAGCUCUACUGGACAGGAAAGGACUAACUUGCAACGGGCGGCACGUGGGCCGGGCAGCAGCGCAACUAUCGCACAUGCGCAGAAAGUGAAGCUUCCUCGUGUAUUCCUUCAUGUGUCUACGCUUACGUUGCUUCCGUCGCUCUCGGACGCGUCUACGUUGGUCACUCCCUCUUUCCUCUGACGUGCAGAGCACAUGCAUGCAGCGCUCCUCCACUACCCCCUCGCGAUUGAUUGUACUCCUCCGGCCUCUCAUCCCCACUACCUCCCUUUGCCCCGCGCUACCUCUCACGUCCUUUGUGUUUGUGUGUGUGUGUGUGUGUGUGUUUGUGUGUUUAGUUGCGUGUGUGAGGGCUUGCAACAUGGGUGAGCGAGGGAGGGAUGAUUAGAAAAGAGAAUAUGACGAUGAGGAGAGAGUCAGCGCACUCUCCACGUUGCCAAGGGCGUGCCUCACCAACCAUGUAUCCUCUCGUUACCCCACCCCGCACCCCAUUUCGCUUCUCUGUUCAUUACCGAUCUCGAGAAGUGGAGUCGUUGUAAGCUCUUCACCUCCUCACCUCUCCCGCCCGCCUUCUUGCGUGCCCGCCACGACAGGGAAUCCCCUCCUGAAGUGACUGGACAAGAAAAGAGGGCAGAGGGGGAUACGCAGGUCUAUCCACGCGUGGGUGUAGUCGUGCCCGAGGAUGCCUUGAAAACAGCUGCAUUCGCACAGAGCGCUUUGGAAUCGCGAAGCGGUUUCGAGAGCGCGAGCAGAGGGGUGCCAAGUCG
rnacentral:misc_RNA from 1 species